UACGUAGGGUGCAAGCGUUGUCCGGAAUUAUUGGGCGUAAAGAGCGCGCAGGCGGUCGUUCAAGUCGAGUGUGAAAGCCCCCGGCUCAACUGGGGAGGGUCAUUCGAUACUGAUCGACUCGAAGGCAGGAGAGGGUAGUGGAAUUCCCGGUGUAGCGGUGAAAUGCGCAGAUAUCAGGAGGAACACCGGUGGCGAAGGCGGGUCUCUGGGCCGAUACUGACGCUGAGGAGCGAAAGCGUGGGGAGCGAACAGG
rnacentral:rRNA from 1 species